GAUGAACGCUAGCUACAGGCUUAACACAUGCAAGUCGAGGGGAAACGAUAUUGGAAGCUUGCUUCCGAUAGGCGUCGACCGGCGCACGGGUGAGUAACGCGUAUCCAACCUGCCCACCACUUGGGGAUAACCUUGCGAAAGUAAGACUAAUACCCAACGAUAUCUCUAGAAGACAUCUGAAGGAGAUUGAAGAUCUAUCGGUGAUGGAUGGGGAUGCGUCUGAUCAGCUUGUUGGCGGGGUAACGGCCCACCAAGGCGACGAUCAGUAGGGGUUCUGGGAGGAAGGGCCCCCAAAUUGGAACUGAGACACGGUCCAAACUCCUACGGGAGGCAGCAGUGAGGAAUAUUGGUCAAUGGACGAGAGUCUGAACCAGCCAAGUAGCGUGCAGGAUGACGGCCCUAUGGGUUGUAAACUGCUUUUAUAAGGGAAUAAAGUGAGCCUCGUGAGGCUUUUUGCAUGUACCUUAUGAAUAAGGACCGGCUAAUUCCGUGCCAGCAGCCGCCGUAA
rnacentral:rRNA from 1 species